rnacentral:rRNA from 1 species
GUGGGGAAUUUUGGACAAUGGGCGCAAGCCUGAUCCAGCAAUGCCGCGUGCAGGAUGAAGGCCUUCGGGUUGUAAACUGCUUUUGUACGGAACGAAACGGUCCGGGUUAAUACCCUGGGCUAAUGACGGUACCGUAAGAAUAAGCACCGGCUAACUACGUGCCAGCAGCCGCGGUAAUACGUAGGGUGCAAGCGUUAAUCGGAAUUACUGUGCGUAAAGCGUGCGCAGGCGGUUUUGUAAGACAGGCGUGAAAUCCCCGGGCUCAACCUGGGAAUUGCGCUUGUGACUGCGAGGCUGGAGUGCGGCAGAGGGGGAUGGAAUUCCGCGUGUAGCAGUGAAAUGCGUAGAUAUGCGGAGGAACACCGAUGGCGAAGGCAAUCCCCUGGGCCUGCACUGACGCUCAUGCACGAAAGCGUGGGGAGCAAACAGGAUUAGAUACCCUAGUAGUCC